GCCCUCAAACCUUACACCCUUUUUUUUCCAGCCGUAACAUAUCAUUGCCUUUUCUUCUCCAUGGCUUCUCAUCUUCAUCAAAAAACAACUUCUUAAUAGCUGGUUCCACUCAUCUCGAUUUUCACCAGAAAAAGAGAUCUACACUUUUCUUUGUUUUCACUCAAAAAGGAUAUGACCCGGCUUAGUUUAACAACUCGAAAACGUAAGAAAAGAAGACAAACAUUGAUUUUAGUUUGGUGGAACCAAGUGAAUAUAAUUAUUUGUUGGUUUAUUGUAUGUCUUUACAUGUUGGUUAUCAAAUACCAGAAUAGAAAGCCAUGUGUUCAAGUUGAAGAAGUUUCAAGUGUUCCUAAUAAGAAAAGGAAGAGCACAUCUCAAACAAGUUCGGUGGUUGAACUUGAAAGUUUCACCGAUGCGGUUAUGUUUUUUGGUGAACGUCUCAAAGAAUCAUCGCUGAAUUAAGUGAAGAUAUAAAACUUGAUGUUCAGCUAAAUAAGAAAGAGGAUAUGAUACCUUCAGAGCUUAAAAAAAUGAAAUCAUUGUCUCAAUUGGACAGGUUUAAUGCAAUUCGAAAAUUGAAAAGUGAUCUUGACAAUGUUGCUACUUUUUGGGAUUUGAAAGAAGAUGAAUGGGAGGAUUGGGUGCGAUUUGUGAUGUCGGAUAGUUAAGUGAAUGACUAACGUAGCUGUAGCUUUUGAUCGACCUCAUAGUUUAAAAGUUUCUCGUACUUAUUUUGAAGCUUGAUGUUGUAAGUUAAUGACAUCUGACAUCCUAGUUUGUUGUAUUUGUGAUGUGGGAAAGUUAAUCACUUGUAUUUUGAAGCUUGAUUCUGUAAGUUAAUGACAUCCUAGCUUGAUGUUGGAACAAUUUCUAUGGCUUUUUCGUACUUA